AGAGAGAGGUAUUGGAAUUGAAUUUUGAGAUUCUUCUUUCUCACCAAUUUCCCAUUUCCACUGAGCAGGACUUGCAGUUUCCAAGCCAGAUAUGAUUCACCAUCUAGAGCAAGGGGGAGUGCCAUGGAGGGCAGAGGAAGAAGUCCUAAGAUGGGGCUGCCCAGCUUCCAGGCAUGGCUGCUCCUCUGUGUGCUUCACCUCCAUCACAGCUCCACCUGCUCUGAUGCUGACGUUUCUUCAUUAUCCCUGUGCUUCUCUGGGGAUUCACGAGCUUUAAUCCUUCAUGCUGCAGGAAUAAUCCUGGCCCUUGGCUGUGAAGAAUGCUGGCAGGCAAGUGCAGGUGUUAGGAUUAGACUUUGUAGUGGAGUGGCUGAAGUGUCAACAGAGAAAAGCUUCCCACUCCCACUGAAACUGGGCAAAAAAGGAAAGGAGAAGAAAAAGAAGAGAACGAGGAAGUGGAAAAUGUCAUCAUUGCAGAUGGCAAGCGGGAGAGAAGCUCACUCAGGUUUCCACACUGAUCGUUUGGAAAGUGACAGCCUUUGCAAUUUCCUGGAAUGCAAACAGUUCUGAGGAUUGAUCUCUCAAAUAGUAUCCCAAGCCUCCAGGAUCCCUGGCUGCCCUUCUAUUAAUAUUGAUUAACAUGCUUAAAAUCCUUCUCACAUUCAUAGUUUAUGAC
rnacentral:lncRNA from 1 species